rnacentral:lncRNA from 1 species
GCCUAUGAAGACGUCCAAAGCUUCUUGAAUUCGUCUUUUCCAACCAUUGUGUUCAAUGAACUAUUGAGCGCUUUGGACAUGAAAUGUCAAACUGUUGACAGAUUGUCAUCGAUACUAAUGGGCCGAACUGUUGAGCCACAAGUCCGGCCCACUGUCAAAAACGGAGAGCGAGGCAACCAAUCACAGCCAGUCAGACACAAAGGGAGACUCAAGACAGAUGUUCUCAAGUUUGGGCCCAUGUUGCAAAAUGUGCUCAUGCGAUCCAGGAUGAUGACAUGAUGUGCAGCAUCCCGUCCAGCUACGGCGGAGCCGCUCAGACUACGAGCUUGUCCUGUCAUUUAGGGGCUGGGGGAGAAGAACAAGCUGCGAGGCUCGAGGAGAAAUGCCAAGAGAAUGAUGUGAUUCUGUCACCUGCCAUUAUUCAGAGUGCAGGGAUUGAAGCAGAGGAGCCACCGCCGCUGCUCCUCCCCGCACAAGCUGUAUUCCCAGGGGUCAGUAACCCUAAACCCAUGAAAGUGGACCCACUAAGUAGCUGGAGAAAGGGGGAUGAUGCUGUGGUGCAACACCAAGAACAAGCAUCCACCCAAAUGAUGCAUUUCCUCAGAACCGAAGCUAAAACCUUAAAGUGCACUAAAAGCGUGAAUACUUCAAGUCCUUCGCGGCAAACCUCACCUAACAUGGAAGCACAAAAGUGCCAAUUGAGUCGUGCUGUGACCGAUGAUCUGGGCGACUCACCGCCGCCAAAAGCUUUGUGUGCAGACUUUGAAAACCAAGCCCCUGUUUUCAAAGUAAAACGGGUGGAGUCAAGUGGCUCCUUGACCUACAGCUCUGUGAUCGCAACAAAGACUGAAUUGUGGGACGUCGGCGACAUCUUCACAGAGGUGGCGCGGGUGGAGCGUGGCGACAGCCUCCUGGAGAAACCGCGCGGCCGGAAUCCAACGUCCGACUCCUGCGCAGGCGUCCAAUGCGAGACCCAAAGUCCCCGAAGCGACGCGCUCGGACCUCCGGCUCAAAUGGGCGCCGGGAACAGGACGAACAUCCCAGAGUUUGAAAUCAAAAAGUUUCAAGAGACGGAAGUGAUGGUGUCUCAUGUCAUCAGCCCAGGCAGCUUCUACAUCCAGCCUGCAGACUGCAUCCCGAAGCUGCAGAGCCUCAUCACGGGCAGCAGCAGCAGCAGCUGGAAAGCCACUAGUUCAUAUGCCUCGCAGAACAACAUUCCAGACAUUGGAACCCAAGUCAUGGCUUGGUUCCCUGAGCAAGAACAAUGGUGCCGGGCUCAGGUGACCAAGAUAUGUGGCGUAAGUAGAGGUUUUGAUGCCGAUGGAGGUGGUCCGUCCAUCAGUGUAGAGGUGAAGAGGCUGGACUUUGGUGACACCGCUUGUCUGUCACUGGUAGAUAUUAAGGAGCUGACGCCAGACAUGGCCGUCCUUCCACUUCAAUGUGUACAGGUCUCACUAGCAAACGUGACGCCUGCGAAUGGGACACACUGGUCUGAGGAGGCAGUGUGUUGGUUCAAAGAGAUGGUCAGCCACAGGACGCUCUAUGCCAGAAUUUACCCACAAGGGCCCAGAGUUACAGUUGAGCUGUUCUUGGAGAAAGGAAAGCUUGGAGCCAUGAGGCGGGGCGCGCCGCUGUCACUGAGGCUGGCCGAGAACGGACACGCUACACACAGCAAGCUCAAGAACACUGGUCUGAGAGCUGUUCAACUCAAAGCAAGAGGACGCUACUCUGACUGGGAGAAACACCUCAUCUCCUGCUAUACAUACCAUAAGAAGCAUUUUGUGUAGUUUGUAUCUUCCCUGACAAAUGUAGUGGUUCCAUGUCUGUUUCUUGGGAUCCACAUCAAGAUUGAACCGAGGGAACCUUGAUCCUUACUGACAAACAGCUACAAAACCCCAUGUUAGACACA